rnacentral:sRNA from 12 species
UAUAAAACCUAAUAGUAUUUUGAACCAGAUGAAAAACUAGGGGAGACACCCUAGGCUGGAAUACUUCUCAAGGGACAGAGUUCCGUUAGCAGAGAUGCGACAGGUGAAGUCCUUACGAACUGUGGCAACACAGCGUAGUCGGAGGCGAGCAUCGCCAAGGGAGAAGUAGGUGCAGACUUAUCAGUAUCAAAAACAACACCGAACUACUCGGGACAAAUCGGGAGACCACACUGUUGGGCGUACCUAGGUAUUCUACGGGGUGACACCUGUGAGGACAAUGCCUAAAUGUCAAGAAAGUCCUUGAGAGCGUAAUUGAGGCUCGGCAACGAGCGUAUAAGAGUAGAAGGUGGUCCAAGUAGCCCAAACUUACGCUAUGAUUAACAAAUUAACUUUUGUUCUAGUGCGAUAGAAAAAAGAGCAAUUACUGCAUACGAGAGUAUGAAAAUGUCUAUUGCGGGUGAAAGGUGCGACGAAGGAUGUCGUAUGGGUUCUGGAACUUCGGUUCUGGCUAAACGUGGAGGUGCCGGCGGGUACCAAGGGCGGUUAGUCCCCAUUGUGUGAAUAUUGGUUGGGGUAAGAUCUGUAUAAGGAGGACUUGCAAAAUACUUUUCUUAUUAU